rnacentral:lncRNA from 1 species
UCAUAAGGAAUAUCACUCUCAUUGAAUCUACGAAGAGAAUUUACCUCUACUACCUCUGUCGGGUUAUCAAGACCAUGUAUUUCUUCAAUAGGUGGUAGAUUCUUAACAUCUUCAGAUUUAAUACCUUUCUCUUGCAUACAUUUCUUGGCUUCUUGCAUAUCUUCACGACUGAGCCAUAGAAUACCUCUUUUCUUCGGAGUUGACUUCGGAGGUGGUUCGGGAAUAGUCCAAGCAUUAUCAUUGCUCAACAUAUUAGUCAAUAGAAUUUCAGCUUGUUCCACAGUUCUUUCCCUGAAAACACAACCAGCACAACUAUCUAGGUGGUCCCUAGAAUCAUCGGUUAGUCCAUUAUAAAAGAUAUCAAGUAUUUCAUUUUUCUUAAGAGGG